rnacentral:rRNA from 1 species
AGCUCCAAGAGCGUAUAUUAAAGUUGUUGCAGUUAAAAAGCUCGUAGUUGGAUUUCUGGUACAAUGCGCCUGGCCCGCGACCGUUAGGUCUGUGAGUGCCGGUGCGCGUUUGCCAUCCUUCUAGAAAACGUUUCUGCUCUUUACCGGAGUUGGACUCGCGAUCUAGAUCUUUUACUUUGAAAAAAUUAGAGUGUUUAAAGCAGGCUUUUGCUGUGAAUACAUUAGCAUGGAAUAAUAAUCUAGGACUUCGGUUCUAUUUUGUUGGUUUCUAGUACUGAAGUAAUGAUUGAUAGGGAUAGUUGGGGGUGCUAGUAUUGGCCGGCCAGAGGUGAAAUUCUUGGAUUCGGUCAAGACUAACUUAUGCGAAAGCAUUCACCAAGGAUGUCUUCU